UCCGUUUUUGUCCAUGCAUGCAUACUUCUGCGAAUAGUCUUUGACUAGGUUUGUAGGUCCAAUCUCGAUUUUUGUAGUCACCAGAGUUAGUCUAAUGGUAACUGAUCCAGUUUUGGCGUGCUCAUGGUACGAAUGAGAAACUGUAAAACCACAGGGUCUCUCCUGUUCUAGUGUUAGACGCUAACACAAAAGAUCCGGGCAAGAUCGCCUCUACAAUGAUUGAUCUCAACUCGAGGCCAAACCGGAUUCAUGGGCAGCCUUCAAAUACACAAGGGAUGAAUGCUUUAAGCGUUAGCAACCAUGAGUGUGCAAGCGUAGUUCCAGUGGGAUCUUGCAAUCAAGAUCUAGAGAAGCAAGCAAGGUAGAUUCUAUUCUUCUCGUUUAUGCUAGUUCAUUGGUCUUUUUGUUUAACCAUUUCUUGGUUAAAGGAAAAAAAAAAGAUAAGGAGCCUGACUCCUUCGGCCUUCUGAGUUUUGGAUGUCGUAAAAAAGAAAAAGAUGAGAGUUGUUUAGACUAAUCAUUGGUUAACAUCUAUAAACCAAUGCCAUGGUGCAUGGGGUGUUUAUUUAUUUAUUUAAAGCAGGAGUGCAUGGGACUGAAAUGUACAAUGCAUCUCUUGAAUUUUUGGGGGAAUGCAUGGGAACUGUUAUACAUGUUUUGUUGGGUUCUUUUGAAAUGCUUCAUUUUGUAUGGUAAAACUUUCUUUAAAAUGAUGCUGAGUUAAGAAAAAAGGAAAGAAAAAGGAUUGCGAGUUAUGAUUUCUUGAGAUA